rnacentral:miRNA from 1 species
AAAUCUAUUAGGUUGGUGCAAAAGUAAUUGUGGUUUUUGCCAUUAAAUUUAUUUUGCAGCAAAAACUGCAGUUAUUUUUGCACCAAACU